UGCCGGUCCUCCCGCGACGGCUAUCCGUGAACCCCGUCAGGCCCGGAAGGGAGCAGCGGUAGCGGGGACGCCGGGUGCCGGGAUCAGGCUGGUACGG
rnacentral:SRP_RNA from 1 species